rnacentral:rRNA from 1 species
GAUGAACGCUAGCUACAGGCUUAACACAUGCAAGUCGAGGGGUAACGAGAGGAAAGCUUGCUUUCCUUGUCGACGACCGGCGCACGGGUGAGUAACGCGUAUCCAACCUGCCCCCAACUAGGGAAUAACCUUGCGAAAGUAAGACUAAUACCCUAUAAUUUCCUCAGAUGUCAUCUGACGAGGAAUAAAGAUUUAUCGGUUGUGGAUGGGGAUGCGUCUGAUUAGCUUGUUGGCGGGGUAACGGCCCACCAAGGCAACGAUCAGUAGGGGUUCUGAGAGGAGGGGCCCCCACAUUGGAACUGAGACACGGUCCAAACUCCGACGGGAGGCAGCAGUGAGGAAUAGUGGUCAAUGGGCGGAAGCCUGAACCAGCCAAGUAGCGUGCAGGAUGACGGCCCUAUGGGUUGUAAACUGCUUUUAUACAGGAAUAAAGUUAGCCACGUGUGGUUAUUUGUAGGUACUGUAUGAAUAAGGACCGGCUAAUUCCGUGCCAGCCGCCGCCGUAA